UUGUCCUGGCCUAUGCUUUCUCCGCUCCCCUGCGCUCAGUUGUAACAGGGGCCUGGCAGGACACACAGCAAUCUCCCUCUGCAUUUAGGAGGCUGCCCUGAGUACAGGGCCAGCUCUUAAAGGCACAAGAAGACAAU